rnacentral:tRNA from 1 species
AAAAACUUAGGAAUAACUAAACCAAAGGCCUUCAAAGCCCUAAAUGAGGGUGCAACCCCCUUAGUUUUUG